rnacentral:rRNA from 1 species
UGGAGGCAGCAGUGAGGAAUUUUGGACAAUGGGGGCAACCCUGAUCCAGCCAUGCCGCGUGAGUGAAGAAGGCCUUCGGGUUGUAAAGCUCUUUCGGACGGAAAGAAAUCGCCACUUCUAAUAAAGGUGGUGGAUGACGGUACCGUCAUAAGAAGCACCGGCUAACUACGUGCCAGCAGCCGCGGUAAUACGUAGGGUGCGAGCGUUAAUCGGAAUUACUGGGCGUAAAGCGUGCGCAGGCGGUUUUGUAAGACAGACGUGAAAUCCCCGGGCUUAACCUGGGAACUGCGUUUGUGACUGCAAGGCUAGAGUGCGGCAGAGGGGGGUAGAAUUCCACGUGUAGCAGUGAAAUGCGUAGAGAUGUGGAGGAAUACCGAUGGCGAAGGCAGCCCCCUGGGUCGACACUGACGCUCAUGCACGAAAGCGUGGGGAGCAAACAGGAUUAGAUACCCCAGUAGUCG